GAUGAACGCUGACAGAAUGCUUAACACAUGCAAGUCUUUGGCUAAGCUGUGCUCGCACAGCCUAGCCAAGGCGGACGGGUGAGUAACGCGUCAGGAACUUGCCCUGCAGUCAGGGAUAACAGACGGACACGACUGAUAAGACCUGGUAAAGUCAGGCGGACUCAUGUCCAGCCUGAUGAAAAGAGAUGCUGCAGGAGAGCCUUGCGUCCUAUUAGCUUGUUGGUGGGGUAACGGCCCACCAAGGCGAUGAUAGGUAGCCGGCCUGAGAGGGUGGACGGCCACAAGGGGAAUGAGAUACGGCCCUUACGCCUACGGGAGGCAGCAGUGGGGAAUAUUGGACAAUGGGGGCAACCCUGAUGCAGCAAUUCUGUGUGCACGAUGAAGGUUUUCGGAUUGUAAAGUGCUUUCAGCAGGGAAGAAAAAAAUGACGGUACCUGCAGAAGAAGCGACGGCUAAAUACGUG
rnacentral:rRNA from 1 species